GUUUGACUUCCAUUUGUGAAGUUUAAAUGAGAUUCCUUAUGGUUGUUUUUAUGUUAACCCCUAGUAUGUGGCCUGCUGUAAACACCCAGGAUACCCAGGAAAUGGUCAUUGCUGUUUGAUUUUCCUGAUGCCCAGUCUCAAGGGGAAGCUGGGCCAAUGAGUACAGCCACUUGCCAUCAGGCUGUCCCUAUAGGAGUCACUGAAGGGGGCCCAGGGUGUGGUGAGGAGAGCCCCAGACACCAGGAGUAAGAGAAGAUCUAACUUGCCACCAGCUUGCUGGAUGACCACAGAAAAAUCACUUCUUCCUUUGGACCUCAGUUUCCUCCUCUGUGGAGGUCUGGAGCUCUACGAGAUUCAUCACCCAUGUCCUGGGCCUGAGGAGAGGGGACCAGUGAGCAUAUUAAGAGCUGCAUUGGUCAGCUGACUCCACUCUGUGACUGCAUCGCUCAGGGGACUUUUCCAUCUAUUUGUUCCUGCCCCUGGCAAGGCAGCAGGUGGCCAUUUGGAAGAAUGGCACAGGCCAUGGUUUUAAUCUCCUCUGCUCUUCUUCAGCGUUUUGUUUUUCUGAACCCACAUCUUCCUCCUACCCUGACUUUCUUGCUUCUCUCUAAGCCACUUCUGUCUUUCGCCCCCUGCCCUUGUUUUUCCCUUGUCACCUCCUGUAGAUUCAGGACAUUCUGAAGGUGCGGGUGUCCAACCUUAACCACUCCAAUGGGGUAGUGCUCCCCCAUUGGACAAGUGGAAGGUGAGGCAGUGCCAAGACCCCUCUCUGGCUGCUGUCUCCAGCUGUGCAUGGCCCUGAGGCUUCUCUGGUUUGGGGGAUACUUGGCCUCUGCCUUGUUUUAUGUUGCUGCCAUUAACCUUCAGCCUGUUUCUGUCUGCUUCUUCACCUGCUUGAUUGAUUGGGUUUUUUCCUUCCCCGCAUCUUUUAUCAUCUUGGAAAUGUUGAGACCUUAAAGUUUAAAAGUAAUUUGGGAAUAACAGACAGUGCAGGCAUGUGGGAUUUGGGGCUUUUUUUUUUUUUUUUUUUUUUUUUUGAGACAGAGUCUCACUCUGUCACCCAGACUGAAGUGCAGUGGUGUGAUCUCGGCUCACUACAACCUCUGCCUCCCAGGUUCAAGUGAUUCUCUUGCCUUAGCCUCCUGAGUAGCUGGGAUUACAGGCACCUGCCACCAUGCCCAGCUAAUCUUUGUAUUUUUAGAAGAGACGGGGUUUUACCACGUCGGCCAGCCUGGUGUUGAACUCCUGACCUCAAGUGAUCCACCCACCUCAGCCUCCUAAAGUGCUGGGAUUACAAGCAUGAGCCACCAUGCCCGGCCCUUGCUGUUUUUAUACUUUCUCUAUAUCCAUAACUGUUUCCUAUGUAAUCUUUUUUUGAAUUUCUCAUUUUUAUAACUCCUGCAUCAUCUGUUACCCUGAAGGAUCUGGAGGUAAGAGGCCCUGGGCCAAGGUGCAGUGACCCUGCAGGCCAGCCCUCCAACCUCCUUUCACAGCAGGGGCUGGGUGCCCCUCUGCCAGCUGAAACAGCCCGACAGCCCACACACACCCCAGCCCUAAUGAUUGUUCUCUCCACCUCUCCCCACAAUCCUCCUCCAACUCCUCCUCUCUGCAUGCGCCUCAGAGUCGGUACCAAGAACUGGAAGUAGCCCUGAACUCAAGCUCCGCAAUAAUCAAUCAACUAAAUGAAAACAUAGAAUCAUUGAAACAGCAGAAGAAACAAGUGGAACAUCAGCUGGAAGAAGUAACGUGAUUUCUUUGCUCACAACAUGACUGCUGGGUUUGGGGGGCACUCAGAUGUAGAGGCGCCAAUCUCGUCUCACCCACUCCCAGCCUGGGGAAGAAGGCUCACCCCUCAGAUUCCACCCCAUCCCCACAGGGUCCCUGAUAACCUGGUCCCAUGGGUGGGCCUGUCCUGGGGCAUUGGUGGCAUUCUGGGGGCAUGUCUCUUGCUAUGCCAUGUCUGCCUCCCUGUGGUAAGAGCCCUGUCUUCCUCUUCCUAUAGGAAAAGAAAGCAAAUAAGGAAAUACACAAAGCACAAACGGAGCAGUUAGAGACAAUCAACAUCCUCACGUUGGAAAAGGCAGACUUGAAGACCACCCUUUACCAUACUAAACGUGCUGCCCGACACUUCGAAGAAGAGUCCAAGGAUCUGGCUGGCUGCCUGCAAUACUCCUUACAGCAUAUUCAAGAAUCGGAGCGGGCUCUCUGUGCUGUGUCUACACAGCAGCAGGAAGAGGACAGGGUGAGUCCGACCAGCUGCCCCAUCCCCUGGCAGCCUGGCUUCCCAGAUGGAGGAGUGAGCCUAAAGGUUCCUUCUCCAGGAUGGAGUGUCCUGCCCAGAAGGCAGCAUGGUCAUUUCUCGCUGCUUUUGUGUAUGGUUGUUAGAGGCAGCCUGGGGCUGAGUCAGCUGCUGUGGCUAAUUUGGGGGGCACUGUUGGGAGUAAGCACUGGAUGCAGAGCUCAGAGGCC
rnacentral:lncRNA from 1 species